rnacentral:lncRNA from 1 species
CUUCAGAGUUGGAGUCAUUUCUCACAAAUAGAUCUGUGAAUUAUUGUUAUGUAAGUGAUAAUUGAAGCUAUCUGAAGACAACAAAUGACUUUAGCCUCAUGGAGUGCGUCAGUCACGUUUGCUAGAACUCUUUUGCUGGAGUGAUGGGGCAGAAGCCAGGCUGGAUUGCACUAUUCACAAUAGCCAAGACAUGGAAACAAUCCAAGUGCCGUCAACUGAUGAUUGGAUAAAGAAGAUGUGGUAUAUAUAUACACAAUGGAAUACUACUCAGCCAUAAAAAAGAUAAAAUCAUCCCAUUUGCAACAACGUGGAUGGACCUGGAGGGAAUUAUGCUAAGCAAAAUAAGCCAGAUUGAGAAAGAGAAACACCAGAUGAUUUCACUCAUAUGUGGAAUAUAAACAAACCCACGGAGAAAGAGAAAAGUUCAGUGGUUACCAGGGGAAGGGGGGAGGAGGAUGGGCACAGGGAGUGAAGGGGAGCACUUGUGUGGUGACAGACAAGAAAUAAUGUGCAACUGAAAUUUCACAAUGAUGUAAACUAUUAUGAACUCAAUUUAAAAAAAAAGAUCCAUGAGGAAAGGCAAAAAAAAAAAGGUAAUUUUCCUGAACUUUUAGUCUGUUUUUGAUAGAGGUUAUAACAGGUUUUCUUUACUUUUGAGUGAGUCUUACUUUGGUUGAAUGGAUAACUAAGCAUUGUUUUACAGCGACCUUUGUUUCUCGGCAACAUCAGCAACCCCUUGAUCUUGUUUGACCAAGUGCUUUAAAACUUUUUGAUAUUUCUGAUAAGCCCCCCCAAAAUUCAUAUCCUAAAUGAAGUUUUUAUUUGGACUUCAAAAAAAUUUCUCUGAGAAUUUUCAGAGGACCCCUGGAACUUAAAGAAAUUUGUUCUCUCUUCCUAUAAAGAGGGAGAUACUUAUUAGGCUUGUUUGGUAUGCUAAAUUGCAUGUGAAGCAUUGUCAAGUAAAUGAUGAUAAACCUUCUCAGGUUGUAUUACAUAGGUAAAUAUUAUUCACUAUCUUAAGCCUGCUACCUUCUUUCCAACAUCACAAGAGGAAAAGACCAUGACUGUAUUCUAUUAUCUAAUUCAGCUUAGAGAUGGGUCUUACUUAAACAAUAAGUAAGGAUGCUAUCAAGUUGGAUAUGCUGUCCAGCCUCGAGAAUGCCCACUACUUUCUUUUAACUCUGCUAACCCAGUAAAAGAUUUCCUUCUAAAUAUUCAAAAAAGUCACCACAGAAGGAGAAAUAAAGGUGACAAUAAAAGGGGGAAAACAAUACUUUUGGAUACUUUCUCCCACAGUGACCCAUAAAGCCUGUACUUGUUGCACUAUAUGGCCAAAGUAAAAUUCAGGGAAACUAUUUCAUGAAUCACAAGGCCACUUUCCCCUUUCUAAGGGAGCCUUUGAGGUAUAGCAAUUAGACUUUGUUCAAAUGCCACCAUCUCAAGGAUAAAUAUAUCUUGUAGUGACCUGUAUGUUCUCAUGUUGGGUUGAGGCCUUUCCUUGCAGAAGAGUGAUGG